AUUGAACGCUGGCGGCAUGCUUUACACAUGCAAGUCGAACGGUAACAGGUUAAGCUGACGAGUGGCGAACGGGUGAGUAAUACAUCGGAACGUGCCCGGUCGUGGGGGAUAACGAAGCGAAAGCUGCGCUAAUACCGCAUACGAUCGGAGGAUGAAAGCGGGGGACCGAAGGCCCUCGCGCGAUCGGAGCGGCCGAUGUCAGCUUAGGUAGUUGGUGGGGUAAAGGCUCACCAAGCCGACGAUCUGUAGCUGGUCUGAGAGGACGACCAGCCACACUGGGACUGAGACACGGCCCAGACUCCUACGGGAGGCAGCAGUGGGGAAUUUUGGACAAUGGGCGCAAGCCUGAUCCAGCAAUGCCGCGUGCAGGAAGAAGGCCUUCGGGUUGUAAACUGCUUUUGUACGGAGCGAAAAGGCUCUCUCUAAUACAGGGGGCUCAUGACGGUACCGUAAGAAUAAGCACCGGCUAACUACGUGCCAGCCGCCGCCGUAA
rnacentral:rRNA from 1 species